AUCCUCUUGCAGUUCAUGAGCAUGGUGAUUGUGUUUUCAUGGUCACGUUCCUAAGCUGUGCCUCCCUCAAACCUUGUUAAGACACACAUUACCCUUCUGACA